CAUCUAGUCAUCUGCAGUGUCCUAAAUCAACAUGGGAAAGCUCUUGGUUAUAUUUACCGUUCUCUGCCUGGUGGCCAUGACGACCGCCCUCAUCCCUAAUGUUGGAUACGAAAAAUGCGACUUUCAACGCAGAUGCUAUUACAACUCCCAGUGUUACGGCGGAGAAUAUUGCAAAAUUAUUGCCCGUUUCCCACAUCCGAUCGCCUUCUGCUGUUUAGGAUAUCACCCCGCUAGAGGAUACUAUUAAAACAAGAAAUACGCGAGCCAGAUCACUUCAUUGUUGACUAAACAAGGAUAUUUGACUUUUGAUACUCAAUGUUCAAUUUAUAAUUGAUGCAUUUGAAUAAAACCUUGCAUUUAAAGUCAA